rnacentral:lncRNA from 7 species
AGUAGUUUAGGGUUUGGAGACGGCCGUCAUCCCUCGCGCAGCGCGGCUAAUCGUUCGACACGGAGACGACCGCCGCCGGCAGCCGAGCUGAUCAGUCUGUAUCUAUUCCCCACGGGAGCAAAAGCAAGGUUGGCGAAUGUCAAGGAGCUUGACAGGUAGUCUGUAGCUCCCUCGGUUGCCGAUUCGGUCGGAGGCGCAGGGAACCCCGAUGAUAACCAUAACUUGUUUGUGCCCCCUAACUUACUUGCGUCUCGUUUUUUUCCUUUUCCCGACUUUUAUGAGCUGGAUCUUGGUUAUUUUGUUUUCGUAUGGGCUUUCGAUGUUUUUGAGGGCCUGGAUCUUGGAUCUAUGAGGUGGUAGAAAUUGACUUAUUUUUCAUGGGGGCCAUUCGAAUUUGCCAGCCUGAUGAUUAGCAUUGUUUGCACAAAGAACGGAGAUCUUAAUGCGCAUCCCGUCGAAGCCUGCUUGGUCGCCUCAGCUCGUUGCCAUCUCUACUACUCCCUCCGUUUCAAAAUAUAUAAGUAGUUUUCUCUCGAGGGAAACUACAACCACACACACACACACACAUGAUGUAUACAUUUAUGUUAGUGUAUGUAUAUCCUCUGCUCCUCGUCCACCACUUGGCUGGCCGAGCAGGCUCCGGGAAAUGCGUCUGUAGAUGCAAAAGUUAUGAAGGCUGUCCCAGAUUGGAAGAAUGCCCUGCCUAAGAUAUGAUUUAGGGAGAGAUGGUGUCUGCCAAUGGGAGCAUACAUUAGCUCUGAUCCUGUGAAGCGUGUCAGUCAAGACCAUAUAGACAGCAGUAGUAAGAACCACCCGAAAACAGGCGAGUCACCAAGCCAUAUUGUAUCAGCGACGAUGAAAAUCAUGUUCUCAUUCUGGAUGUUAAAUUUGAGACCAAAAGAUGGUGUAUUCGUUCAAGUGAUUUUGUAUCCUAUUCAUAGUUCCCUUAAC